GGGGGUGCUAUGGCUCAGUGGAAGAGCUUUUGCUCAAUAUGUAUAAAGUCCAGGUUCAGUCCUUGGUAUCUCUA
rnacentral:tRNA from 1 species